rnacentral:rRNA from 1 species
GCGGCGUGCCUAACACAUGCAAGUCGAACGGGGUGAGGCCCUUCGGGACCUUUACCUAGUGGCGAACGGGUGAGUAACGCGUGAGGAACCUGCCUUUCAGUGGGGGACAACAGUUGGAAACGACUGCUAAUACCGCAUGAAGCUUUUGGGAGACAUCUCCUGAAAGCCAAAGCUUAAUGUGCUGAAAGAUGGCCUCGCGUCUGAUUAGCUAGUUGGUGGGGUAACGGCCCACCAAGGCGACGAUCAGUAGCCGGUCUGAGAGGAUGAACGGCCACAUUGGGACUGAGAUACGGCCCAGACUCCUACGGGAGGCAGCAGUGGGGAAUAUUGGGCAAUGGGCGAAAGCCUGACCCAGCAACGCCGCGUGAAGGAAGAAGGCCUUCGGGUUGUAAACUUCUUUUACCAGGGACGAAGGACGUGACGGUACCUGGAGAAAAAGCAACGGCUAACUACGUGCCAGCAGCCGCGGUAAUACGUAGGUUGCAAGCGUUGUCCGGAUUUACUGGGUGUAAAGGGCGUGUAGGCGGAGAUGCAAGUUAGGAGUGAAAUCUGUGGGCUCAACCCAUAAACUGCUUCUAAAACUGUAUCCCUUGAGUAUCGGAGAGGCAAGCGGAAUUCCUAGUGUAGCGGUGAAAUGCGUAGAUAUUAGGAGGAACACCAGUGGCGAAGGCGGCUUGCUGGACGACAACUGACGCUGAGGCGCGAAAGCGUGGGGAGCAAACAGGAUUAGAUACCCUGGUAGUCCACGCUGUAAACGAUGAAUACUAGGUGUGGGGGGACUGACCCCCUCCGUGCCGCAGUUAACACAAUAAGUAUUCCACCUGGGGAGUACGACCGCAAGGUUGAAACUCAAUGAAUUGACGG